GGCCACAUGGCGUAGUUGGUUAGCAUUUGGCAGUGCAUUUGCUUGGGAUGCAAAUGUAAGUGGGUUCGAAUCCCGCUGUGGGUU